GAUGAAGAACGUAGCGAAAUGCGAUAAGUAAUGUAAAUUGCAGAAUUCAGUGAAUCAUCGAAUCUUUGAACGCACAUUGCGCCCGUCAGUAUUCUGGCGGGCAUGCCUGUUCGAGCGUCAUUACGCCCCUCAAGUCCCCUGUGGACUUGGUGUUGGGGAUCGGCGAGGCUGGUUUUCCAGCACAGCCGUCCCUUAAAUUAAUUGGCGGUCUCGCCGUGGCCCUCCUCUGCGCAGUAGUAAAACACUCGCAACAGGAGCCCGGCGCGGUCCACUGCCGUAAAACCCCCCAACUUUUUAUAGUUGACCUCGAAUCAGGUAGGACUACCCGCUGAACUUAAGCAUAUCAAUAAGCGGAGGA
rnacentral:misc_RNA from 1 species